CAUGAUCAGUACUCUGGCGUUUUAACCUAGGAAGCAGGAGUUUCCUUUGCUCUUUUGCCACAAACCUCUUGGGUGAUCUCUGGUUGUUCAGGAGCAGUAGAAGUGUGGCAUUUGCUGCCUUUAGCCAUGCUGUAUACAUCACCAUCUAGGCAUCUAGCAGCUGCAUACAUAUAGUUCAAGAGAGUGACCCUCCCUUCCCCACAUGCUACCUAUUCUGUGAAAGCCAUAAGGACUGUUAUACACAAGACAGGCUUCGACUGGACAGCCCUCAAAUAGAGGACACCUUCAGACUGAGGACUGCCAGCCCUUCAAAAGUAAAGUAGGACACAUGGCCACCAGUGUCCAUACAGGCAGCCCAUCAAUUUUCCCUUACCUGGCAAUGCUUUGAGGAUUUCCAUGUCAUGCUUGGUCUUUGCCUGGCCAACAAUCAGUUUUGUCUGUGUUGCCUAGACUUCAUUGCUCACCUCCCCACACCAGCCACCCCCAUGUAAGGACUUUCCUUCCUGUUGUUCAUGUCCCAGGGUCUCAUAUCCCCAUCCUUUCAGCCUUCUUUCCUCUCUAGCUUUCCUCCAGCUUUAUGACAGAAUAUUACACUGAGUCAGCCAAAUAAUUAUCCUAGUUUGCUAUUUUCAGACCUGAUUAGCAACAGCUUUUAUACCUAGCACUCCAGGAUCUCAAAUACAUGUAGAUAUAUAUUUUCCAGCUGUACUCCUUAAAAUUCCUUACUUGAGAAGAAAUGUGGAACAUCUCAAUGGCAAAGUUAUGCAUACUACCAGUGACCUCAGAACACAAUGUUCUAAAUAGGUAAAGUCUGGUGCAAUUUUAUAGGAUUUACAUUGCUUUGGGGAGUUUUUCAUUAUUAUUACCCCCAUUACUCUAGACAAAUAUACCAUUUAUAAACAUCUGAUUUUUAAAAAUAUAGAAAUUCCAGUCAAAACAAAGAAAAUGGUGUCACACUUCAAUAAAUUUCUACAUGAAAAGUUUGUUUCUGAAAUAUUGUAAUAAUUCUUUAUGCAAAAGCAUGGGAGGGGAUCAUUAGGAAAGGCUGACACAUAUUUUAAUUUAAAAAAAACAGUUCAGUAAUAAUGAGGAUAAUAACAAAAUUUAAAUAACCUUUAAGAUGUGGCUCUUGGAGCAACUUGCAAAUUAAAUGCACACUCCAUGCUACAAUUAAACAAAUAAAAACAUCAAUAGUGCAGUUCCUUCUGCUCUAAAAUAUAGGGUUGCAGCUUCAAGCAUUUAAAGGAAAAGAAUGGAAAAGGAGAGGAAGGUAUACAAAAAGGUAACCAACUUUUAGGACUGCCUAAACAUACCUAAACAAUAGAAAAAUGUCAGUUACUCUUUUUAAUAUGAGGGAGAGAU